rnacentral:precursor_RNA from 15 species
GUGACAGAGGUAACCAUGAGCAUUUGACCCUGCACUCAGGGAUAGAAUAGCGGUCCACUUGGCAGCCUCCUUUUCUAUCCCUGGGACUGGUACCACUGCUGCUGCCAUCACUGGCAUUUG